AGUGUAGGUGGCUCAUUAAGUCACAUGUGAAAUCCCCGGGCUUAACCUGGGAACUGCAUGUGAUACUGGUGGUGCUAGAAUAUGUGAGAGGGAAGUAGAAUUCCAGGUGUAGCGGUGAAAUGCGUAGAGAUCUGGAGGAAUACCGAUGGCGAAGGCAGCUUCCUGGCAUAAUAUUGACACUGAGAUUCGAAGGCGUGGGUAGCAAACA
rnacentral:rRNA from 1 species